UUCCGACGCGCAGAGUGUACGUGACCAGGAGCACAUUUUGAUUUUUGAACGCAAAAAAUGCCUAGAAUACGCAAACGAAAGACUACAAGAGUACAGUGCAGCUUGAAUCAGUAUGAAGAUGCUUACAAAGAAACUAAACGCGGGACUUCUUUGCGACAAGCUGCGGAAAUGCAUGAUGUUAAUCGCAUGUCACUAUUAAGGUAUAUUCGAAAACGCGAUAAUGCCAGCACGGGCGAUAGUGAAAACAAUAGCAUUAGCAUGGGGUAUGUUUCUCACAAUAAAGUGUUUUCCGAACAACAAGAGCAGCAGUUGUCAAAAUAUUUACAGCGUUGCGCGGACAUUUAUUUCGGACUUACUCCAAAAGAGGUGCGGAAGUUGGCUUUUGAGCUUGCAACUCAAUAUAACCUAAAGCAACCUGCUACUUGGGAAAUCUCUAAAAUCUCAAUGAGCCGAAAGGAAAAGGAAAAGGUAAAGCAACGAAAAGGAAACAAUCACCGUCAAUAUCAGAUGAAGAAGAAUAUUUUUGUUUGGUGUGCCUUGGUCCAUAUUCUGAAAGUAGGCCUGGCGAAAAAUGGAUUAAACGCCAAGGAAAGUGUAACCUUUGGGCCCAUGUAGACUGUACAAAUGGUAGUCGGUAUUAUAUUUGUCACAACUGUGAUGAGUCGGAUUAGAUUAGUUGUCAAACUUACUUUUAUAAAUUUUCACAUGCUACAUUUCUAAAAAAAUAUUUGAGUUCCUGUUUAAAAGAUUUUGAGCAUGUUGUUUUGUUUUGAGUUUAGUUUCAAAAUAGACGAGAGUUUAUGAAGACUGACUGUACUAAUGAAGACUACUGAUUGUAACCAAAGAUCCUAUAGUGCCUUAUAUGUUGUAAGAAAUUAAAAUGUUCAAAGAUUUUAUUUCUUUUGUUAGGAAAGUAUAAUUUAGUUGAUUAUUAUAUAAAAAUAAAUAAAUAUUUUUUGCAA